UACAGAGGUCUCAAGCGUUGUUCGGAUUCAUUGGGCGUAAAGGGUGCGUAGGUGGCGCUGUAAGUCGGGUGUGAAAUUUCGGAGCUUAACUCCGAAACUGCAUUCGAUACUGCGUGGCUAGAGUGCUGGAGAGGAGACUGGAAUUUACGGUGUAGCAGUGAAAUGCGUAGAUAUCGUAAGGAAGACCAGUGGCGAAGGCGAGUCUCUGGACAGCAACUGACGCUGAGGCACGAAGGCCAGGGGAGCAAACGGG
rnacentral:rRNA from 1 species